rnacentral:rRNA from 1 species
GGCUCAGGAUGAACGCUAGCGGCAGGCCUAAUACAUGCAAGACUAGGGGGCAGCAAUGUCACCGUCGCACGGGUGCGUAACGCGUAUGCAACCUACCUAUCACAGGGGGAUAGCCUUUGGAAACAGGGAUUAAUACCGCAUAAAGCAGGGGGCUCCGCAUGGAGAUAUUGCUAAAGAUUUAUCGGUGAUAGAUGGGCAUGCGUCUGAUUAGUUAGAUGGUGGGGUAACGGCCUACCAUGGCGAUGAUCAGUAGGGGGCGUCAGAGCGUGGUCCCCCACACUGGCACUGAGAUACGGGCCAGACUCCUACGGGAGGCAGCAGUAGGGAAUAUUGGGCAAUGGAUGCAAGUCUGACCCAGCCAUGCCGCGUGAAGGAAGAAGGUCCUCUGGAUUGUAAACUUCUUUUAUCGGGGAAGAAGAAUCACCUUGCGAGGUGAAGUGACGGUACCCGAUGAAUAAGCCACGGCUAACUACGUG